CCUACGGGAGGCAGCAGUGAGGAAUAUUGGUCAAUGGGCGGAAGCCUGAACCAGCCAAGUAGCGUGCGUGAUGAAGGCCCUACGGGUCGUAAACCGCUUUUGCACGGGGAUAACACCCUCCACUUGUGGAGGUCUGCAGGUACCGUGCGAAUAAGGGCCGGCUAAUUCCGUUCCAGCAGCCGCGGUAAUACGGAAGGCCCGAGCGUUAUCGGGAUUCGUUGGGCUAAAAGUGAGCGUGGGCGGGCGUUAAAGUCAGCUGUAAAAUCGCGGGGCUAACCCGAGCCCCGCAGUUGAAACUGGACGCCGUGAGUUCACAAGAGGCAGGCGGAAUUCGAGGUGUAGCGGUGAAAUGCGUAGAUAUCACGAGGAACCCCGAUUGCGAAGGCAGCCUGCCGGGGUGCGACUGACGCUGAGGCUCGAAGGUGCGGGUAUCAAACAGGAUUAGAUACCCUAGUAGUC
rnacentral:rRNA from 1 species